rnacentral:rRNA from 1 species
UACGUAGGGUGCAAGCGUUGUCCGGAAUUAUUGGGCGUAAAGAGCUCGUAGGCGGUUCGUCGCGUCGGCUGUGAAAAUCCCCGAGGCUCAACCUCGGGUCUGCAGUCGAUACGGGCGGACUGGAGUUCGGCAGGGGAGACUGGAAUUCCUGGUGUAGCGGUGAAAUGCGCAGAUAUCAGGAGGAACACCGGUGGCGAAGGCGGGGUCUCUGGGCCGAUACUGACGCUGAGGAGCGAAAGCGUGGGGAGCGAACAGGAUUAGAACCUACCGA